rfam:Schistosoma mansoni strain Puerto Rico chromosome 6, complete genome
AUCCACCUGAGCAGUCCCAAAUAGAACGAAACGUACGUCCUGGGU